UUGUGUUCACCUAGAAAUUUUUUAUAGUACUUCUUCUUUCGUGUCGUUCGAACCCCAGAAUACUCUCAUCUCUUUUCCUCAGAAACCCAAAUUCAAAUUAGAGAUGGAGGAAUUCAAUGAGUUUGAUUAUUCACUUAGAUGAUUUGCAUGAAGCAUUCGUUUGCUGUGGCUGCUCAUCCAUAUUGUAUUCUCUUUUACUCCCAUCACGGGCUGGGUAAGAUGGAGUUUAAUAUUACUGAAGAUUGUGAUAACAAGACUGUUUGAUAGAUUAUUUGAGCCAGGUGAUUUCCAGUCACUUUAUUUUCAUCUUAAUCAAGUUUAUAACCUUAAAUGUUUGAUGAAAUGCCUAAUAGAGAUUGAAGAGCUUAUCAUUAACAGCUUCAAAGCCAACGUCACUCUGAAGGCUGCUGACAGCUUCAAGAGCUCUAGGGAAUGAGGUUCCAAACUGUCAAACAACCUUAAGGUGAACUAUUCAGAUAGCCAUUUACAUGUAAGCGUGUUGGUCAUUCUGCAGUCAAGUGUUUCUUUAGAUACACUACUCCAAAAUCGAGUGACAAGUCUUUGUAGCAAGCUUUUUCUGGCCUACACAUUUUUGAUGCAGGGUUAUGAAAUCAAGGAUCUCAAGACUGACAAGCUUCUUGCUAGGGGUUCCUAGCUCUGUGAUACCCAAUACUUCUCAUACUUCUUUUUCAUCGGCACAAAAGAUCAGGGCAUCUUUCUCAUGCUAUUCUUCACAAGCUUCAGUUCAAAGAAUUAAUUCAGUUAUCAUCUUCUUCUUCUCAGGAUGGAUUGUGCCACUCAUAUCAGUUAGGUAAGCACAAACGUGUUACCUUUCUCAAUUUCAAAUAGAACUACUUCUGCACCUCUGCAAUUGGUUCACUGUGAUGCACGGGGACCUACUUCUACUUUUCAUCUGACUGUAGCUGCUACAUUCUCUUUAUUGAUGAUUUUAGUAGGUAUAAUUGGUUAUAUCUAGGAAGCUUAAAGCAGAUGCUUUAAAUUGUUUCGAACAUUUAAAGCAACAACUGAAAAUUUGUUUAGCUGCACAAUUGAGAUUGUUUCAGUCAGAUGGUGCUUUUGAACUAGUUUAAGUGAAAUUUAGAGAGUUCAUAGAUGAAUGUGGCAUAGUCAUUUCAUGCUCUUGCCCAUAUACUCAGCAACAAAAUGGCCUAGCUGAGAAGAUUCGUAGGCAUGUGACUGAAGUAGGUAAUACAAUUUUUUUCUUUUCAAACAUCUUUACCUAAAUCCUUAUGGAUAUAAUCAUUCCUCACUGCAGCAUAUAUCUCAUUAAUAGAACUCCUAAAUUACUUGGUUAUGAAUCACCUUUUGAGAUUUGUUUAACAAGCAACCAGAUUAUUCCUUUUUAAAGCCUAUGUAUGUGCUUGUUACCGAAAGUUAGUUCCUUGCAGAAAGGAUACUUUGUGUGUGUUUUUAGAAUAUAGUUUGUGGCAUAAAUACAGGUGCUUUGAUUUGGUUACCAAGAAGUUCUACGUCUCUAUACAUGUGGCCUUUGAUGAGAAUCUUUUUCCUUUUGCAACUGCAGUCUCAAUUGAUUCAGCUAUACUUUCUGUUCCAGAAUUCUUUUUACCUGCUACUUUACAAUCUCUAUCUAAUAUGCCAGAAGUACUCCUAUUCCUCAAGUAGCCAAUUUACCUUCACUUCCAGACAUUGUUAAUCUACUCACCACCGUUGUUACUAGGUCUAGAUAUGGUACUAGAAAAGCUAAGGCCUUACCUACAAUUUUUGUUCCUCAUUUUGCUUCUAGAUAUCAUAUUCCACUGCCUUCACUUAUAUUUUGCCGACCCCUGUUGAGCUAAAAACAGAUAAAACUGUUUCUAAGGAUCUUAGAUGGGUAGAGGCUACGUCAAAAGAAUUUCAGGAUCUACAGACCAAUCAGAAAUGGAUGUUGGCUCCAUAUUCUUCUUCUAUAAAUGUACUUGGAUGUAAGUGGGUGUAUAAGAGGAAGAACUUAAAGCUGAUGGGAUAGUUGAUAGGUUUAAGGCCAGGUCAGUGGCUAAAGGAUUCAAUCAGGAGGAAGGUGUAGAUUGUAGCGAAACUCUCUUGGUGGUAAAACUUUGUAUUUUUCUGGUGUCGGUUGAAUUUAUGCCUGCUCCUAGGGCAAGUCGUAUGGUUUUAGUUUACAAAAGUCUGAGGUUUCCUUACGGUUGAAUUGGUUGUGGAAUCAAACUGGCUGCUGGUGAUUUUUCUUUAUCUGGAUGACUGGAUUUUCUAAUUUAGUCUGAGCUGGAUGCCCUGACACCAGAAAAUCCACUGCUGGGUAUUGUGUAUUUUUGGGUCAUUCCUUGGUAGCUUGGAGCUCUAAAAGGUUGCCUACUGUUGCUAAAUCUUCCUCAGAAGCGGAGUAUAAGGCCUUAGCUUUGCUUGCUUCAGAAGUUCUAUGGAUGUCCUACUUAUAAGAUGAGUUGAACAUCAGUUAUUCAAUUCAUUUUCAGCUGUUCGUGAUAACAUCAGUGCAAAAUGUCUAGCUGAAAAUCCAGUUUUUCAUGCAAGUUCCAAACAUACUGAGUUGGAUUAUCACUAUGUCGGAAAUUUAGUGACUGCUGGUUAUGUUGAUAUCUUUACUAAAGGACUUACUUCACCAGUUCUGUGUGGUCAUCAGUCCAAGUACUUGUGCUUAGCUUGAGGGGGAGUAUUAUUAACUGAAGAAUUCUCUUCUUUUGUAUUGUUUUAAUUCUGUCCAUUCAAUUGUGUUUUUGCUCAGUUUGUUAAGAAGAGUCUGAUUCAACCAGGUGACAAGUCUGUUGAAGCUUGUUAUAAUGGUCAUCUGUUCUCUUGUCCUCUGUUUGUGACUUCCGUCUCCGUCUCCUGUAUUUUCUUAUCCAAUAUCAU